rnacentral:lncRNA from 1 species
GAGUUAAUAUUAUUGUUAAUAAACUUCUUUGGCUCUUUACAGUAACGAAAGAAAAAAUGAGAAAAGAUGCAUCUUGACUUUGCUUACCAGCAUCUGUGGCACUUUGUCCUGUACUUUGUCCUGAGUUUUGUAUUGGAUACUGGAAAGUGUUUUGCAGCCUGCAGCAUGUAACAGUAUAUGGAAGAGCUAUUCUGUGGAUUCUCCUCAAUGAGACAUCCAGGAUGGCUGCCGGUGACUGCAAGGAACUACAUGCAGUGGUCCAUAUGCCACAUUUCAGUGCUCGUUUCUGCAGAUUCUUUCCAACCAGCUUUUCAAUGUUAGUCUGACUAGACCAAGGUAAAGCAAUCCCCAUGCGAAACGCACUGAAAGCUUUCUUCUCUCCUCUUUCUCCUCAAGGCUGUGAAGUGGU